UUUGGGCUUUUUGAGAAUUUCUGUUUUCUUCUCUUUUUUUUUUUUUCAAAUUCUUGUGA
rnacentral:ribozyme from 1 species